rnacentral:lncRNA from 1 species
UAACUAAGAGAUGAAGAGGUUUAACCACAGUCCUUCAGAUGUUGACUCCGAGAAGCCGACAUUUUAAAAAUUGAGGGAGAGUUUAAUUUUGAAGAAUUGGGAAAGCGAUUUCCCAUAUUCAGGACUUACAGCCUACGGUGAUUUGCUUUCCAGAAGAGGAGCUGCUGUGCUUUCCUGGAGAGUUAUAUUNCAGCAAGAUACAAUCAAUUAUGUCUGAUUGCAAGCAGUGAAUUUUAGUCUGUUGAUGAAGACAAAGGUAUGCAGAUUUCCAGUUCGGGGGUUCUCAG